UUGGGGGAUGUUGCUGGCUCUUAUGGGCAAUUGUGCACUCCUCCUGAUUCAAAUCCACCUGUGCACAUUGAGUAGGCCAUGGAAUUUAAUUAUUCUGUUGCCUAUGCUUUUUUCAAUACACACUUGUAAAAGAUUGUAUGAUCAUGUAAUUAACAGUUACAACUUUCAACAAUGGAUCUCUUGGUUCUCGCAUCGAUGAAGAACGCAGCGAAUUGCGAUAUGUAAUGUGAAUUGCAGAAUUCAGUGAAUCAUCGAAUCUUUGAACGCAUCUUGCGCCCUUUGGUUACUCCGAAGGGCAUGCCUGUUUGAGAGUCAUUAUUAUUCUCAACUUUGGAGUUUGUCAUUCAGACUCUGAAGCUUGGAUGUGGGGGAAAUUUUGCUGGCACUCUCGGGUGUUGGCUCCCCUCAAAUACAUUAGCAGGACUUGAUUGUCUCUGGCUCUGGUUUGAUAAAUAUCUAUGCCAUUGCCGACUUGAAAGGUCCAGCUUCUAAACCUGACAAUUUCUUGAAACUUGACCUCAAAUCAGGUAGGACUACCCGCUGAACUUAA
rnacentral:rRNA from 1 species